CAACUCCGGCCCUCUGUGAAGAUCCUUAGAGAGUAGUCACCUUGCACUCCUACCAUGGGAAUGAAAGGGGUGCUGGGGGAGCUCUCUUCCAUCCGCACAGACUUCGAAGCUGGAAGGACCCGGGCUAUCCCCCACCGCUUUGUGUUGACGUCUCCCUCAUUUCUAGGAAUGCCCCAGUCCUGUUACUAUAUUUGGAGACAGCUUCUAGGAAAAGGUUCUCCCCCUAUCUCCACCCCACCCCCAAAUCACAUUUCCCUUACUCUCAGUCUCUGCCUGUCUCUCCGGUGCUCUGGAGUCGCCGCAGCUACCAACACUACCACCACUCCCCCCACCCCCCACUCCCGCCCCUGCCAACCCCAGCCCAGCCCAGCCCAGCUCAGCCCCCGCCUCUCGCAGCCCCUGCUAUAGGGCGGUCGGCCUGGGUCCCCGCUCUAGGGCGCUGGGCAGCUUUGCCACAACGUUGCAGAAAGGAGAGUAAAGCCGAGCAGGGGAGGACCUAGAGCUGGUUGGGGUGAUAGGGGGUGGGGGUGGAGGGGAGCUGUCUUUGUGGCAGCAGAGGAGGCUGAGCGCAGCAACAUCUCCCUUUCUAUGGAAAAGGAAUUCUUUCUUUUUUCUUUUGCACUUUUAAUUUUCAUUUUUGUAGGGGAGGGGACCAUCCUAGGAGUGAGGAGUGUGAAUGAGGGGGGAGGAUGUCUUUUCCGCCUCUCCCUCCCUUUGCCCCUCCUGCCCCUCUCUACCCCCCGCGGUACUGGAUGUGGCCUCCGGGUAGAUCAUGGCGUGAUCGAGGUGAAGAAAUGUUUGCGGGGAGCCUGACUGGGCGAGAUGGCAGAAUGAGUCAGGGAUCUGCUGGGGAUCGAGGCGGCACCCGGGCCAGGGCAGUACAGGCUGGCGGCUGGCUCUCUCCCCGCCCCUCGGCCCCCACCUUCCCCAGCAGUGACAGGCGGAGCAGGGGAGCGCUCCCUGCAGACCCCUGGGAGGAGGGAUUCGCUGUGGAAGUGGAUUAUGAUCUACCCCUCAGGCUUCUCCUGCUAUCUCCUGGCUGCAUACAUACGAACAGACUUGAAAUGGACUCCUUUCACAUCUCUGCUUGUUGAAGCCCUUCAAGGACCAACUCAGGAAUAAUAAAGUGGAGGAAUUCCAUGGGAACCA
ensembl:lncRNA